UUUUAUUUUUUCCUUAAUUUUCUGCUUGAGUCUUGUGCUAAAGGAGAUUCAUGACAUAUGUAUCAAUCAUCACUUCCACAUCUGCCUCGUGAGUUACGACACUGAACCUGUUAAACUCCAUGGUCUGUCUCAUUAUUGAAAAAUCUAUGCAGUCACAAUCAGUUUAUCUUUUAUAUUAUUUUCUGAGUUAUAAACUUCCUAAGAAGUCGUGGAAAGUUAUGUUGUAACUUGAUUUACUCACCCGUAAGUAUUUAUCCUCUGAGCAGUGGCGGAGCUAGCUAAUAGUGAGGGGUUCAUCAGAACCCCUUCGGCGGAAAAUUAUACUAUUUAUACAAGCUUAAAAUUAUUUUUCAUGUAUAUAUAGCAAACGUUGAAUAACCCUCUUCGAUUAGUUCUUUUGUUCACAUUUUUCAAUUUUGAACCUCCUUAGUUAUGAUGUUGGCUCUGCCACUGCCUCUGAGACACAUGUUUUUCCCUUAAACUGUUGCUGGUAUAGCAACUAUCUGGUACCUACUGGCGCAAUUAAUUCAGAUUCGCCUCCCGUAGAGUCUAUCAUUAAAGGGAGAAGUGUUUUCUAUCAGAAAUUCUCCAUUUCCAGGUAUCAAACGCGAGACUUUUAAUCGAUGAUGGAGAGAUCACAUUCAUUUGCGACAUAGCCCACAUGUAUCUUACACUUUGUGUAUUUAAAGGAAAUUCAUUUUACAACAAUAGUGAUUUGAAGGAAAUCCCCAGCAUGUAUAUAUAUGUGUUUCCUGAUACGAGCCAAAUGGCCACCAUAGCUUGUGAUGACAUCUUUAGAAGCCAAUACAUGAAGAAUCACGCUUUGGUCGCAUUGAGGGCACAAGAACAUACAUGGAGGGGCAGAUUUGAGCGCACCAUAGAGCAAUCUUGUGUGUGAAAGGUUGCUUGGGAGCAUUGAAGACGUGAAGACUCACGGUUUUGGGCACCUUUCAUUAAGGGUGUUUUAGGGACUACACUUGUUGAUUCCCAAAACCCCAUGGCCACCCCUUUCAUUAAGGGUAGGGAGGUCAGUUUGUCUUCAUUUUGUAAUAACUAUAAGUAGGCUCUUUAGGAUUAAUUUCAUACUUGGUUGAUUAUUGUUGAUGAAGUUGUAACACUUGAAGCAUUUCUC